AAAAAGGUAAGCUAAAUAAAGCUACUGGGUUCAUACCCCAUUUAUGAAAAUAUUUCCCUUUUUA
rnacentral:tRNA from 1 species